rnacentral:rRNA from 1 species
CUUGCAAACUGGAGAUGGCGACCGGCGCACGGGUGAGUAACACGUAUCCAACCUGCCGAUAACUCGGGGAUAGCCUUUCGAAAGAAAGAUUAAUACCCGAUGGCAUAAUAGAACCGCAUGGUUUGAUUAUUAAAGAAUUUCGGUUAUCGAUGGGGAUGCGUUCCAUUAGGUUGUUGGCGGGGUAACGGCCCACCAAGCCUUCGAUGGAUAGGGGUUCUGAGAGGAAGGUCCCCCACAUUGGAACUGAGACACGGUCCAAACUCCUACGGGAGGCAGCAUG